GAGUUUGAUCCUGGCUCAGGAUGAACGCUGGCGGCGUGCUUAACACAUGCAAGUUGAACGAAGCGCUUGAAUGGAAUUCUUCGGAAGGAAGCUCAAGUGACUGAGUGGCGGACGGGUGAGUAACGCGUGGGUAACCUGCCUCAUACAGGGGGAUAACAGUUAGAAAUGACUGCUAAUACCGCAUAAGCACACGUGAUCGCAUGAUCGAGUGUGAAAAACUCCGGUGGUAUGAGAUGGACCCGCGUCUGAUUAGCUAGUUGGUGGGGUAACGGCCCACCAAGGCGACGAUCAGUAGCCGGCCUGAGAGGGUGAACGGCCACAUUGGGACUGAGACACGGCCCAAACUCCUACGGGAGGCAGCAGUGGGGAAUAUUGCACAAUGGGGGAAACCCUGAUGCAGCGACGCCGCGUGAAGGAUGAAGUAUUUCGGUAUGUAAACUUCUAUCAGCAGGGAAGAAAAUGACGGUACCUGACUAAGAAGCCCCGGCUAACUACGUGCCAGCAGCCGCGGUAAUACGUAGGGGGCAAGCGUUAUCCGGAUUUACUGGGUGUAAAGGGAGCGUAGACGGCAGUGCAAGUCUGAAGUGAAAGCCCGGGGCUCAACCCCGGGACUGCUUUGGAAACUGUGCAGCUAGAGUGUCGGAGAGGCAAGUGGAAUUCCUAGUGUAGCGGUGAAAUGCGUAGA
rnacentral:rRNA from 1 species